CAUGGAGGAACUCUGAUGCAGCGACGCCGCGUGAGUGAAGAAGUAUUUCCCCUAUGUAAAGCUCUAUCAGCAGGGNAAGAUAAUGACGGUACCUGACUAAGAAGCACCGGCUAAAUACGUGCCAGCAGCCGCGGUAAUACGUAUGGUGCAAGCGUUAUCCGGAUUUACUGGGUGUAAAGGGUGCGUAGGUGGCAAGGCAAGUCUGAAGUGAAAAUCCGGGGCUCAACCCCGGAACUGCUUUGGAAACUGUUUAGCUAGAGUACAGGAGAGGUAAGUGGAAUUCCUAGUGUAGCGGUGAAAUGCGUAGAUAUUAGGAGGAACACCAGUGGCGAAGGCGACUUACUGGACUGCUACUGACACUGAGGCACGAAAGCGUGGGGAGCAAACAGGAUUAGAUACCCUGGUAGUCCAAGGGCGAAUUC
rnacentral:rRNA from 1 species